GCGCGUCCUUUCCGCCAGGUGUGCCCCGGGGUGGCGCGGCUGAGGGCGAGGGAGCGGGGCGGGAAGUGCGAAGGCAGCGGGAGCUGAGGCGAAGCCCCCUCGGUGCCGGCACCGUCGAGGGACAAAGGCGGGGGUCCCCUGGACCAGGGAAGGAGAACUGAUCGGUGGAGAGACGUGGACGGACGGGAUCAUUUGUGAUGUCGCAGGGCUCUGAGCUACUUCAAGAAUUACCUUAUACUGGCUUCUUUAGGAAUGUCAUCUUGGUUUCUACCAGGCACCCUGAAGCUCCUCUGAUCUUCCAAAAAUGGGAGGAGAGACACUGAGGCUGUAUUUCAAGUCACCAUAUUCCUAGUGAAGAACUAACAGAAAAACCUGGCAAGAGUUACUGGCUGACCAUGCUGAUCCUCCAUUACAGAAGAAAAUGCAUCCCUCAGCAUAGUCCCUCUUCCAGGAAGUCCUUUCACAGUGAUCCUACAAUGUCCUGUCUGCAGCUGCUCUU